AGUAAGUUAGUAUACUUAAUACAUUUAAUUUAGGCUUAAAAAAAAGAUAAAAUCUACUUACCA
rnacentral:tRNA from 1 species